rnacentral:tRNA from 1 species
AUUUAUAUAAUAUAUUUAGUAUAUUUGACUUCCAAUCAAAAAGUUUAAUUUUUAUUAAUAUAAACA